UGUAAAAUAGUAUAGUUAGUACACAGAGGUUUGAUCUCUUUAGAAAAGGUUGUUACUCCUUUUUUUGCAG
rnacentral:tRNA from 1 species